rnacentral:rRNA from 1 species
UACGUAGGUGACAAGCGUUGUCCGGAUUUAUUGGGCGUAAAGCGCUCGCAGGCGGCCCGCUGCGUCGUGCGUGAAAGCCCCCGGCUCAACCGGGGAGUGUCGUGCGAUACGGGCGGGCUCGAGGCCAGUAGGGGGACGCGGAAUUCCGGGUGUAGUGGUGGAAUGCGUAGAGAUCCGGAGGAACACCAGCGGCGAAGGCGGCGUCCUGGACUGGUACUGACGCUCAGGAGCGAAAGCGUGGGGAGCGAUCCGG